UAGGGAGCGAGCGUUGUCCGGAAUUACUGGGUGUAAAGGGAGCGUAGGCGGGGAUGCAAGUUGGGUGUGAAAUCUGCCGGCUCAACCGGCAGCUGCACUCAAAACUGCAACUCUUGAGUGAAGUAGAGGCAGGCGGAAUUCCUAGUGUAGCGGUGAAAUGCGUAGAUAUUAGGAGGAACACCAGUGGCGAAGGCGGCCUGCUGGGCUUUUACUGACGCUGAGGCUCGAAAGUGUGGGGAGCAAA
rnacentral:rRNA from 1 species